UGGGACGAUGGGACGAAGGAGUCCAGAAGGGGGAGGUUGAGGAUCGCUGGGAAAACCCCGCGAUUGCAACGGUCACUUUGCCUGGUAUCUUGAAGAGAACGGUCGAUAUCCGUGAAAAUCACCGUCACGAAAGAGUGAAGUUUAGAAGUGAAGUGGAAGAUCCGGUAGACGCCAUCCCGGAGAAAAGCCGUCCGACGAUCUAGAGAUCCGGACGCAAGCAGGAGGAGCCUGCGUUGAUUUGUGGACAUCCAGAACCCCUCGGUGUUCGUACGCUUCGCGUACAGGCCGGCGCAGACGCAUCCGUCCGCCGUAAGCCACCCGACACCCGCGGUAUUCCCCGCGCGGUACCUAGUACCGCCGAGCACGAUCGCUCACGCACGAGGAUCGCCCGCGACACCGUUCCGGUGUGGGAACCGCCCUCGCGACGCCGCCAUUUUGGUCUUCUGACCUACCGUCGCGAGAUAAGACGCCAGCCUCGCCAGCCGUUAUACCAACCGACGCCGGAAACCAGGCAGACCGGUAGAUUCAUCUACCGAGGUCCCAGAGUCCGUCACCAUACUCGGGAGCGUCGAGGCAGGUGGCGCAGAAGAGGGUCGAGUACGAGAGCAGCAGCUGACCGCCCAUAGUGGUCGCUGAACGUGAGAGGAAGACGUGUCCCGCCCCGGUUGACCGAGUCCCGGAGGUCGGUGGAGGCGUGUAGCCGUUGUUCCAGGAACGCGAGCUGAGAGUGGAGAGAGAGCGGAAGCAGCAGUUCCGUAAAGGGCCCGAAGAAGAAGGAAGAAGGACGUGUGAGGUAGGAUUAGAUAGUAAGGAAGUGGGGGAUCGAGGAACGAAGAACGCGCAGCUUGAGUCUGCUGAAUAAAACACGAGUUUCCGGAAUAAAGUGGGUUUGUUUUGUCCGUUGGUCCAA